CAUCCACCUGCAACCAGCUUCAAAUCCAACCGCAAGAUAAAACCUAAAUCUCCUCUUUCAAUCAUCAUAUGAAGGUUGAAUAGACUCAGCCCCUCUCAUGAGAGGGUUUCGAUUCUCGAAGCUCGGGAUAACGUCCUAGCAACUAAAUCGAACCAGAAGAAGGCGAAGAAGGAAGGAUACUAACCUUUGCGUCGGAGCCUUGCCUCGGGGACGAAGACGAUGACCAAAACAGCAGUUUCGACUUCCUUCGCCGCGAGCUAAUGGUGACGCCGAUAACGGAUGAUGAUCGUGUGCGAUACUGCGAUGGUGACGAAGAAGUGAAGAAGUGAUGGUAUCGAUGGAUGUCGACUGAGCGAAGCGAAGAAGAAUGUCCAAAACAGAUAAGAACUUCUCUUCCCCAAUUCCUCUUCUGUUUUUUCGGUUACCAAUUUGGUUUUCGCUUUUCAUCCCUUCUUCUGUGCGCUUAUGUUUCCAUUACAUCUUGGCUUCCAUUUGAGACGGAGCUUCGACCUUCAUUUGCAGGUUCUUGCCGUGAAGAGAAUCUAGGUUGAAGAAACGGUUACGUCACGACGAGGAAAAAGUUGACGAUUGAAGGCUGAGAAUUCAGUUGAAGGUGAUGGAGAAUCGACUUGGAGCUUGGUUGAGGGUGACGUCGUGUGAGAAGAGUAGUGAAGUUGUGUUAGGGAUUGAAGAGUUCCUUUUCUAAAUUUUGCAGGUUGUGUUAGAGAAGAAGAAUUGGUUGAAUGGUGAUGGAGGUUACGGUUGGAGAUGUUGAAGUGUUAAAGAUGGAUAAGUAUGGUUGAAGGUUGAUGAAGGGUUCUGUUAACUGUGAUGGAGAGUGAAGUCGUUAGGGUGAGUUUUGGGUUGUGAUGGAGAUGGAAGAAGAAGCCCCCGGGGUGAAGAAUCAAUUAUAAGUUAUAUGGAGGUUGUUGAAGUUAUGGAGGUUAUGGUUUAGUUAGGAAUUAGUUAGAUUCAAUGACAGUUGGCGAGAGUUGGCGACAGUUGGAAUUUAUUAGGCGGUUAGGACGGUUAAGAAAUUUGUUAUGAAGUUUGGAAUUGUUGAGUUGGUUAUCGUGAAGCUCCAUUUUGAAUGAGUUCCUUUAAGAAGGAACUUGUUGAAUUUUUAAUGAAGGUUCCUCGAGAGCAAGGUUUUUCAGGAUGAUGGUUGAGUGAUUUAGUUUGUGGAAUCUGGUUCGGUUGAGGAUGUGGAACUGUUUUGCUGUGAUCAAACUCAGGUCAAAUGUAGGCUAAAUGAAAGCUCUGCAGGCAUGGCUUUGCUUCAUUUUUUAAUGGGUUGGUGGCCAUGGUUUGAUGCAGGCUUGGCGACGACAGGAACCUUGCAGUUCGCAUCAGACAAAAGAGGGAAAAUGGCAUCCACCAACCCAAUUAAAUUUUCUUGAUCAGAGAAAGGGUUAGGGUGAUGAAGUGUUGAAAUUAGUUGCAUUAGCUAGUGUUGGUGUUGUAAUUUUUGUAACUAAUGUAAGUUUGGAGUUAUAUGUCAUACGGAUUGGGAUCGGGUGUACGUUUGUAUAAUAUAUGUACGAAAUUUGGUUUAAAUGGGAUAUGGAUUGAAGUAUGACAGUAUGUUGUAAAAAUGAAUGUAAGGUUGGAAAUUGAGUGAUUUGUGUAUAAUUUUUGUAAGAAUGAAAUUUUGAAAUUGAAAGUGUAAUGGUUUAUGUUCUAGAA